rnacentral:rRNA from 1 species
GAGCGGUAGAGAGAAGCUUGCUUCUCUUGAGAGCGGCGGACGGGUGAGUAAUGCCUAGGAAUCUGCCUGGUAGUGGGGGAUAACGUUCGGAAACGGACGCUAAUACCGCAUACGUCCUACGGGAGAAAGCAGGGGACCUUCGGGCCUUGCGCUAUCAGAUGAGCCUAGGUCGGAUUAGCUAGUUGGUGAGGUAAUGGCUCACCAAGGCGACGAUCCGUAACUGGUCUGAGAGGAUGAUCAGUCACACUGGAACUGAGACACGGUCCAGACUCCUACGGGAGGCAGCAGUGGGGAAUAUUGGACAAUGGGCGAAAGCCUGAUCCAGCCAUGCCGCGUGUGUGAAGAAGGUCUUCGGAUUGUAAAGCACUUUAAGUUGGGAGGAAGGGCAGUUACCUAAUACGUGAUUGUUUUGACGUUACCGACAGAAUAAGCACCGGCUAACUCUGUGCCAGCAGCCGCGGUAAUACAGAGGGUGCAAGCGUUAAUCGGAAUUACUGGGCGUAAAGCGCGCGUAGGUGGUUUGUUAAGUUGGAUGUGAAAUCCCCGGGCUCAACCUGGGAACUGCAUUCAAAACUGACUGACUAGAGUAUGGUAGAGGGUGGUGGAAUUUCCUGUGUAGCGGUGAAAUGCGUAGAUAUAGGAAGGAACACCAGUGGCGAAGGCGACCACCUGGACUGAUACUGACACUGAGGUGCGAAAGCGUGGGGAGCAAACAGGAUUAGAUACCCUGGUAGUCCACGCCGUAAACGAUGUCAACUAGCCGUUGGGAGCCUUGAGCUCUUAGUGGCGCAGCUAACGCAUUAAGUUGACCGCCUGGGGAGUACGGCCGCAAGGUUAAAACUCAAAUGAAUUGACGGGGGCCCGCACAAGCGGUGGAGCAUGUGGUUUAAUUCGAUGCAACGCGAAGAACCUUACCUGGCCUUGACAUCCACGGAAUUCGGCAGAGAUGCCUUAGUGCCUUCGGGAACCGUGAGACAGGUGCUGCAUGGCUGUCGUCAGCUCGUGUUGUGAAAUGUU